AUAAUACUCCCUCCGUCCGGAAAUACUUGUCGGAGAAAUGGAUAAAAAUAGAUGUAUCUAGAACUAAAAUACGUCUAGAUGCAUCCAUUUCUAAGACAAGUAUUUCUGGACGGAGGGGGUACCAA
rnacentral:pre_miRNA from 1 species